CCUACGGGUGGCAGCAGUGAGGAAUAUUGGUCAAUGGGCUAAGGCCUGAACCAGCCAAGUCGCGUGAGGGAUGACGGUCCUACGGAUUGUAAACUUCUUUUGUCGGGGAGUAACGAGGCCACGUGUGGCCGAAGUGUGAGUACCCGAAGAAAAAGCAUCGGCUAACUCCGUGCCAGCAGCCGCGGUAAUAGGGAGGAUGCGAGCGUUAUCCGGAUUUAUUGGGUUUAAAGGGUGGGUAGGCGGAACAUUAAGUCAGAGGUAAAAUCGUGGGGCUCAACCCCGUUAAGCCGUUGAAACUGGUGAUCUUGAGUGGGCGAGAGGUAUGCGGAAUGCGUGGUGUAGCGGUGAAAUGCAUAGAUAUCACGCAGAACUCCGAUUGCGAAGGCA
rnacentral:rRNA from 1 species